AGUGAACGCUGGCGGUAGGCCUAACACAUGCAAGUCGAACGGCAGCACAGUAAGAGCUUGCUCUUACGGGUGGCGAGUGGCGGACGGGUGAGGCAUACAUCGGAAUCUACUUUUUCGUGGGGGAUAACGUAGGGAAACUUACGCUAAUACCGCAUACGACCUACGGGUGAAAGCAGGGGAUCUUCGGACCUUGCGCGAUUGAAUGAGCCGAUGUCGGAUUAGCUAGUUGGCGGGGUAAAGGCCCACCAAGGCGACGAUCCGUAGCUGGUCUGAGAGGAUGAUCAGCCACACUGGAACUGAGACACGGUCCAGACUCCUACGGGAGGCAGCAGUGGGGAAUAUUGGACAAUGGGCGCAAGCCUGAUCCAGCCAUACCGCGUGGGUGAAGAGGGCCUUCGGGUUGUAAAGCCCUUUUGUUGGGAAAGAAAAGCAGCAGGUUAAUACCCCGCUGUUCUGACGGUACCCAAAGAAUAAGCACCGGCUAACUUCGUG
rnacentral:rRNA from 1 species